rnacentral:rRNA from 1 species
CACCCAAAGAACGCGUGGAGCAUGUGGCUUAAUUUGACUCAACGCGGGGAAUCUUACUAGGUCCGGACCGAUUCUAUGAUCGUCGUACUGUGGGGUGCUACGUGAUUACUGGAUGAGUGGUGCAUGGCCGUUCUUAGUUCGUGGUGUUAAUUGUCUACUUAAUUGUCCGUAGUUUAAUACACGUAUUGAACUAUGAACGAACGAGAUCGAGACCCGUGGUUGCGURUGUUUGAAUUCGGUAUUACUACGGGGAUCGCGUAUUACUCCACGGUACGAUCGAAAGACUCGGCAAUAACAGGUCUGUGAUGCCCUCAGAUGUUCUAGGCUGCACACGUGCUACAGUGUGGUUCCGUGUCGUGUGUGUAUGCGUAGAUAUCUGAUAAGAUCCCCCGCACCGAGUCAUAAUCGGUCACACGGUUGGACUCACCGAUUGUCAAUUAUUCGGUAUACUAACUAGGAAUGCCUCGUACCGGGUCGGUUCAACGAGACCCCCUGGAAUCCGUCCCUGCCCUUUGUACACACCGCCCGUCGCUCUUACCGAUGGGCGUGGUUAUUAGCAUCGACGAAUCUCCACCGAGGUGAAUCGACGCAUGUAACCACGCCUAAAGGAAAGAGAAGUCGUAACAAGGCAUCGGUAGGUGAACC